UACGUAGGUGGCAAGCGUUGUCCGGAUUUAUUGGGUUUAAAGGGUGCGUAGGCGGGCAGGUAAGUCAGUGGUGAAAUCUCCGAGCUUAACUCGGAAACUGCCUUUGAUACUAUCUGUCUUGAAUAUGGUGGAGGUAAGCGGAAUAUGUCAUGUAGCGGUGAAAUGCUUAGAGAUGACAUAGAACACCUAUUGCGAAGGCAGCUUACUACGCCUAUAUUGACGCUGAGGCACGAAAGCGUGGGGAUCAAACAGG
rnacentral:rRNA from 1 species